GAUGAAGAACGCAGCGAAAUGCGAUAAGUAAUGUGAAUUGCAGAAUUCAGUGAAUCAUCGAAUCUUUGAACGCACAUUGCGCCCCCUGGUAUUCCGGGGGGCAUGCCUGUUCGAGCGUCAUUUCACCACUCAAGCCUCGCUUGGUAUUGGGCAACGCGGUCCGCCGUGUGCCUCAAAUCGACCGGCUGGGUCUUCUGUCCCCUAAGCGUUGUGGAAACUAUUCGCUAAAGGGUGUUCGGGAGGCUACGCCGUAAAACAACCCCAUUUCUAAGGUUGACCUCGGAUCAGGUAGGGAUACCCGCUGAACUUAAGCAUAUCAAUAAGCGGAGGA
rnacentral:misc_RNA from 1 species